UGGGGAAUAUUGCACAAUGGGCGCAAGCCUGAUGCAGCCAUGCCGCGUGUGUGAAGAAGGCCUUCGGGUUGUAAAGCACUUUCAGCGAGGAGGAAGGUGGUGGACUUAAUACGUUCAUCAAUUGACGUUACUCGCAGAAGAAGCACCGGCUAACUCCGUGCCAGCAGCCGCGGUAAUACGGAGGGUGCAAGCGUUAAUCGGAAUUACUGGGCGUAAAGCGCACGCAGGCGGUUUGUUAAGUCAGAUGUGAAAUCCCCGGGCUCAACCUGGGAACUGCAUUUGAAACUGGCAAGCUAGAGUNCGUAGAGGGGGGUGAGAAUUCCAGGUGUAGCGGUGAAAUGCGUAGAGGAUCUGGAGGAAUACCGGUGGCGUAGGCGGCCCCCCUGGACGAAGACUGACGCUCAGGUGCGAAAGCGUGGGGAGCAAAACAGGAUUAGAUACCCUGGUAGUCCACGCUGUAAAACGAUGUCGAUUUGGAGGUUGUGCCCUUGAGGCGUGGCUUCCGGAGCUAACGCGUUAAAUCGACCGCCUGGGGAGUACGGCCGCAAGGUUAAAAACUC
rnacentral:rRNA from 1 species